rnacentral:rRNA from 1 species
CCUACGGGAGGCAGCAGUGAGGAAUAUUGGUCAAUGGACGAGAGUCUGAACCAGCCAAGUAGCGUGAAGGAUGACUGCCCUAUGGGUUGUAAGCUUCUUUUAUAAAGGAAUAAAACGAGGCACGUGUGCCUGUUUGCAUGUACUUUAUGAAUAAGGAUCGGCUAACUCCGUUCCAGCAGCCGCGGUAAUACGGAGGAUCCGAGCGUUAUCCGGAUUUAUUGGGUUUAAAGGGAGCGUAGAUGGGUCGUUAAGUCAGUUGUGAAAGGUUGCGGCUCAACCGUAAAAUUGCAAUUGAUACUGGCAGUCGUGAGGACAGUUGAGGUAAGUGGAAUUCGUGGUGUAGCGGUGAAAUGCUUAGAUAUCACGAAGAACCCCGAUUGCGAAGGCAGCUUACUAAACUGUGACUGACAUUGAUGCUCGAAAGUGUGGGGAUCAAACAGGAUUAGAUACCCCAGUAGUC